CUGGGUGUCCUUGAAGACAACAGAUGAAGGGUGUGGGAUAUGGGGGUCUUUGAUUGCUCAAUGGCAAUGGUGAGAGAGGGACAACACGUGGAUUCGAGAUGCGGAGGAUAGUGCACACUAGAGAUGAUAAGGAGGUUAUAGGGAUGUGAGUCUGACACAGGAGUUUGGGGUACUUAUCUUUUUCUAACCCAUGGUUGAAUUGGGGACCUGUGAUUGUGCUCUAGUCCAGUUUGAUUUAGUUCAACGGUUCAAGACGUUAGAUUGGAGGAUGUUUUAUGGUUUUGAUUAUAAAUAUUAUAAUAUAAUAUAGGUAUAAGAUAAUAGUUCUUCAUAUGCAAUAUGAGAUGCCGUUUGAGUUACUUGAGUCAAGUUGAAAUUUGAUGGGCAUUUGAGUGGAUUUGAUGAGUGAGUUAGAGCCUCAUACUGAAUCUUUUGUUUCUUGAGUCAAACCAUCGUAGCUAGUUCCAAGUUGAAUAAAAAGGUGCAAGGUUGACCUCAGGUUGACAAUCGAUAGUAAAAAUAUGUCAAUAAUUAUGAAAUGGAUUCUAAUUUGAUAUGCAUGAAUGUUAGGAUGUCUUCUCUUUUUUGCAAUGUGCCACAACCUUAACCGAUUGUGGUGAGAAAUGGGGAAAUUGUUUAAGAUCGUUUUCAUGAACAACUUGCUAUUGUGUGACCUUGAAGGUUGGUUAGGUCCUUGUCCAUAAAUGGCCCUCUACAACGUGAUCUGAUUAGAGUGACAAACAAGGUUGGCUAGGUCGUUGCUUAUAAGUGUCUUGCUAUCAUGGUCUCAAAUCCCAAUGGGUUUUCUCAUGAGACACCAAGAGGAGGUACCAUCUGGAGUGUCCGGACAAGAUUGUCCUAUCGUUAUCCCAGCAUCCUGAUCGGCUUAUCUUGGGACAUCUCCUAUCCUAGGCAUUGGAAUAGGACCAAACAAUAUGUCCUAUUCGACAAGCAAAUUGAGAUAGCCUUGUCUUACGUGAUUUAAAACCUUGCCUGCUACAACGUAACUCGAUUGUGGCGAGCAAGAGUUAUUUAUGAUUAGGAUUCUAAUCAUGGUAUUUCAUACCAUUUUGUACUAGUUUGUACUAAAAUUACCAUACUAUACCAUU
rnacentral:lncRNA from 1 species